rnacentral:rRNA from 1 species
AUUGAACGCUGGCGGCAGGCCUAACACAUGCAAGUCGAACGGUAACAGGAAGAAGCUUGCUUCUUUGCUGACGAGUGGCGGACGGGUGAGUAAUGUCUGGGAAACUGCCUGAUGGAGGGGGAUAACUACUGGAAACGGUAGCUAAUACCGCAUAACGUCGCAAGACCAAAGAGGGGGACCUUCGGGCCUCUUGCCAUCGGAUGUGCCCAGAUGGGAUUAGCUAGUAGGUGGGGUAACGGCUCACCUAGGCGACGAUCCCUAGCUGGCCUGAGAGGAUGACCAGCCACACUGGAACUGAGACACGGUCCAGACUCCUACGGGAGGCAGCAGUGGGGAAUAUUGCACAAUGGGCGCAAGCCUGAUGCAGCCAUGCCGCGUGUAUGAAGAAGGCCUUCGGGUUGUAAAGUACUUUCAGCGGGGAGGAAGGGAGUAAAGUUAAUACCUUUGCUCAUUGACGUUACCCGCAGAAGAAGCACCGGCUAACUCCGUG